UGGUUGGCAUCUCCCCUGACAGGGUCGGGAACAGCCUUCGGGCUUUCCUGUUAACACAUACGGUUAAGGCUACCCACCUCUCGAAGGUGGAUCUAACCCAAUUUUUUUUCAUUUCUUUUUCCUUUUGCGUUCGCGAAGAGGGUGCCUGCGUUUGUUGAUGGGAACUGCGAAGUUGGUGAGAGAUUUGUUUUGGUGUAAAGCUCCAGCUUUUUAUGUUCCUGCUGGGUGUUAGGAAUUUCCUAAUCAGUCUUUAAAUGCUGUACAGAUCAAAUGAACUUCUGUUCUGCAGGUUGGGAAUGUGACCAAACAUGACAAAGAGAGUACCUGCCAGAUAAGAUUGGACAACUAUGCCCGUUUCUAUGAAUAGUUUUAGGUAAAACCAAAAGCAGCAUCACGUAGAUUUAUUUCCAAAAUGGAUAGGAGCGUUGCCCGUAACAUCUCAUCCAUCCUAGAUUUUAAGUUAAGCCUAGUUUGGUACUGUUUUAGUCUUUGGUUCUUAGAAGUAAAGCUUAUAAGCUCUCUUUUGCCUAUGAGGUUUUCUUAUUGUUGUUUAGGGGAAGAAUUCAAAUCUUUUGGGGAAGAUGAAAACAUAUGUGAGAAAAUAAACACAAUUUUAAAAAACCAAGUUAUUUUGAUAUUAGAUGAGAUCCCAAGGGUCACUCCAGUUGCAUGAGAAAGAUGAUAAAACUUCAUCAUUCUUCUCGGAAAGAGGUUCUAGUUUCUUCAUUCAGCUGUGUUGGAGGAAAGAUGUGCACAAGCAGAAGCAGAAGUACUAGCCUUGAUCUCAGAUAAGUCAAGGACUAAUUCUUCAAGGCCCCAUCCUUCUCAAGUUGUCACAACUACUACCAUUUUCUUAGCAAACUCACAAUGUCAGUUUACAAAGGAGGUGCCAAUUCAUUCGUCCUCUGAAGAUGCAGUUUAUUAAGGAAGAUUUUAGACGAUGACUGAUCUUCAGUGAGUGAGUAUUAUUUGGUGUUAAACACUAUUCCUGAAGUAUUUGAUGAAGAUCUUAGUGAAUAUAUUGCAUAUUUGUCAAUAGUCUCAAUAUACAAGUUAAUGUGUAAUUCAAUGGAUUAUUCAAUUUGAACAUUAUUGAUGCAAAAUUAUAAUUUGUUUAGUUUUAA